UGGGGAAUUUUGGACAAUUGGGCGAAAGCCUGAUCCAGCAAUGCCGCGUGUGUGAAGAAGGCCUUCGGGUUGUAAAGCACUUUUGUCCGGAAAGAAAUCCUUGGCUCUAAUACAGUCGGGGGAUGACGGUACCGGAAGAAUAAGCACCGGCUAACUACGUGCCAGCAGCCGCGGUAAUACGUAGGGUGCAAGCGUUAAUCGGAAUUACUGGGCGUAAAGCGUGCGCAGGCGGUUUGCUAAGACCGAUGUGAAAUCCCCGGGCUCAACCUGGGAACUGCAUUGGUGACUGGCAGGCUAGAGUAUGGCAGAGGGGGGUAGAAUUCCACGUGUAGCAGUGAAAUGCGUAGAGAUGUGGAGGAAUACCGAUGGCGAAGGCAGCCCCCUGGGCCAAUACUGACGCUCAUGCACGAAAGCGUGGGGAGCAAACAGGAUUAGAUACCCUGGUAGUCCACGCCCUAAACGAUGUCAACUAGUUGUUGGGGAUUCAUUUCCUUAGUAACGUAGCUAACGCGUGAAGUUGACCGCCUGGGGAGUACGGUCGCAAGAUUAAAACUCAAAUGAAUUGACGGGGUCAUAGCUGUUUCCU
rnacentral:rRNA from 1 species